rnacentral:rRNA from 1 species
UAAGGAAUAUUGGUCAAUGGACGCAAGUCUGAACCAGCCAUGCCGCGUGAAGGAUGAAGGUCCUCUGGAUUGUAAACUUCUUUUAUCUGGGACGAAAACGGGAUUUUUAUCUCAAUUGACGGUACCAGAGGAAUAAGCACCGGCUAACUCCGUGCCAGCAGCCGCGGUAAUACGGAGGGUGCAAGCGUUAUCCGGAUUUACUGGGUUUAAAGGGUGCGUAGGUGGGCUUAUAAGUCAGUGGUGAAAUCUCCGAGCUUAACUUGGAAACUGCCGUUGAUACUAUAGGUCUUGAAUUAUCUGGAGGUAAGCGGAAUAUGUCAUGUAGCGGUGAAAUGCUUAGAUAUGACAUAGAACACCAAUUGCGAAGGCAGCUUACUACAUAUAAAUUGACGCUGAGGCACGAAAGCGUGGGGAUCAAACA